ACGCACCUUUCGGGGUGAGUGGCGGACGGGUGAGUAACGCGUGAGAAUCUGCCUAGAGGUCGGGGACAACCAUUGGAAACGAUGGCUAAUACCGGAUAUGCCUUACGGGGUGAAAGAUUAAUCGCCUUUAGAAGAGCUCGCGUCUGAUUAGCUAGUUGGUAGGGUAAAAGCCUACCAAGGCAUCGAUCAGUAGCUGGUCUGAGAGGAUGACCAGCCACACUGGGACUGAGACACGGCCCAGACUCCUACGGGAGGCAGCAGUGGGGAAUUUUCCGCAAUGGGCGAAAGCCUGACGGAGCAAGACCGCGUGAGGGAGGAAGGCUCUUGGGUCGUAAACCUCUUUUGUCAGGGAAGAACAAAAUGACGGUACCUGACGAAUCAGCAUCGGCUAACUCCGUGCCAGCAGCCGCGGUAAUACGGAGGAUGCAAGCGUUAUCCGGAAUUAUUGGGCGUAAAGCGUCCGCAGGUGGCUGAUCAAGUCUGCGGUCAAAGACCGGGGCUUAACCCUGGAAAGGCCGUGGAAACUGAUCAAGCUAGAGUACCGUAGGGGUAGAGGGAAUUCCCGGUGUAGCGGUGAAAUGCGUAGAGAUCGGGAAGAACAUCGGUGGCGAAAGCGCUCUACUGGACGGUGACUGACACUCAGGGACGAAAGCUAGGGGAGCGAAUGGGAUUAGAUACCCCA
rnacentral:rRNA from 1 species